AUGUACACUCUUGUCAGCGCGGCGCUAUGGGUGGUGGGCAAGGCGUUGGCCCCCGUUGCCGAUGGCUUGCUGGAGGCUUGGGGUGCCACCAAGAACUUGGGUCUCAACAUUGAGGCCCUCAAGAUGGAGCUGCUUCUCGUGAAGGCCACCCUCAAACUUGCAGCCAGCAAACAGAUCUGUGGCCAGGCCAUGGAGGAGCUGCUGGGGAAGCUGCGGGACUCGGCGCACUGUGCCGAGGACUUGUUGGAUGAGUUGGACUACUUCCGCAUCCACGACGAGCUCCAUGGCACGUGUGACGCCGCCGACCACCAUGCCAAGGGUGGUGUCCACGACUUUGCCUUCAAUGCUCGUCACACCGCCAAAGCUGUUGGUAAACGGGUCAGCUGUUGCGCUUGGCCAAGGGCCAGGCAGAGGUCAAAUGUCAAUUCCUCCUUAGACCCAAAAGCCAAUCCGGAGAGGUCGCAUGUCAGUUCCUCCUCAGAACCAAAAGCCAAUCAGGAGGCCUCUGCCUUGGAGUUCCCUUGUACAUUCUUCUAG
rnacentral:rRNA from 1 species